rnacentral:rRNA from 1 species
AUUGAACGCUGGCGGAAUGCUUUACACAUGCAAGUCGAACGGCAGCACGGGGGCAGCCCUGGUGGCGAGUGGCGAACGGGUGAGUAAUACAUCGGAACGUGCCCGGUCGUGGGGGAUAACGUAGCGAAAGUUACGCUAAUACCGAAUACGAUCUGAGGAUGAAAGCGGGGGACCUUCGGGCCUCGCGCGAUCGGAGCGGCCGAUGUCAGAUUAGGUAGUUGGUGGGGUAAAGGCCUACCAAGCCGACGAUCUGUAGCUGGUCUGAGAGGACGACCAGCCACACUGGGACUGAGACACGGCCCAGACUCCUACGGGAGGCAGCAGUGGGGAAUUUUGGACAAUGGGCGCAAGCCUGAUCCAGCCAUUCCGCGUGCAGGACGAAGGCCUUCGGGUUGUAAACUGCUUUUGUACGGAACGAAAAGGCUCUGGCUAAUACCUGGGGCUCAUGACGGUACCGUAAGAAUAAGCACCGGCUAACUACGUG